GCUGGGAUAGCUCAGUCUGUAGAGCAUGAGGCUUUUAAUCUCAGGGUUGUGGGUUCAAGUCCCACAUUGGGCA